rnacentral:rRNA from 1 species
GACGAACGCUGGCGGCGUGCUUAACACAUGCAAGUCGAGCGGAAAGGCCUGCUUUCCCUUGUGGAUUGCGGGUACUCGAGUGGCGAACGGGUGAGUAACACGUGAGUGAUCUGCCCCCAACUUGGGUAUAAGCCUGGGAAACUGGGUCUAAUUCCCGAUAGGACUGCAGGGUGGUGCCUGUGGUGGAAAACGAUUUUCUAGUGGUUGGGGAUGAGCUCGCGGCCUAUCAGCUUGUUGGUGGGGUAAUGGCCUACCAAGGCGGCGACGGGUAGCCGGCCUGAGAGGGUGGACGGCCACAUUGGGACUGAGAUACGGCCCAGACUCCUACGGGAGGCAGCAGUGGGGAAUAUUGCACAAUGGGCGGAAGCCUGAUGCAGCGACGCCGCGUGGGGGAUGACGGCCUUCGGGUUGUAAACUCCUUUCGACCGCGAGGAAGCCACCUGGUUGGAAGGGUGGCGACGGUAGUGGUAGAAGAAGCACCGGCUAACUACGUG